rnacentral:rRNA from 1 species
CCUACGGGAGGCAGCAGUGGGGGAUAUUGCACAAUGGGGGAGACCCUGAUGCAGCGACGUCGCGUGGGUGAAGAAGCGCCUCGGCGCGUAAAGCCUCGUCAGCAGGGGAGAAAAUGACGGUACCUGAAGACGAAGCCCCUGCUAACUACGGGCCAGGAGCCCCGGUAAUACGUAGGGGGCAAGCGUUAUCCGGAUUUACUGGGUGUAAAGGGGGCGCAGACGGUGAUGCAAGCCAGGAGUGAAAGCCCGGGGCCCAACCCCGGGACUGCUGUUGAAACUGCGUGGCUAGAGUGCAGGAGGGGCAGGCGGAAUGCGUGGUGUAGCGGUGAAAUGCGUAGAUAUCAGGAAGAACACCGAUGGCGAAGGCGGCCUGCUGGACUGCAACUGACGUGGAGGCCCGAAAGCGUGGGGAGCGAACAGGAUUAGAUACCCCUGUAGUC